UUGAUAAUAAUAGCGCCCGAACUAAGCCCAGAGCGGAGAAAACAGGCUUAGUUGACGAGGAGGAGGUUUAUCGAGUUUUCGGCGGAUGCCUCCCGGUUGAACGCACAGCCGUGAAUUCUCUUCUUAAAACAUCAGGGCGACCUGGUGGACAAAGGAAGGGAAAUGCGAUUUC
rfam:Bacillus smithii strain DSM 4216, complete genome.